GGGACCCUACGGGGCGCAGCAGUGGGGAAUAUUGCACAAUGCGGGAAACCCUGAUGCAGCGACGCCGCGUGAGUGAAGAAGUAUUUCGGUAUGUAAAGCUCUAUCAGCAGGGAAGAAAAAAGACGGUACCUGACUAAGAAGCCCCGGCUAACUACGUGCCAGCAGCCGCGGUAAUACGUAGGGGGCAAGCGUUAUCCGGCUUUACUGGGUGUAAAGGGAGCGUAGACGGCGCGGCAAGUCUGAAGUGAAAAUCCAGCGCUUAACGUUGGAAGUGCUUUGGAAACUGCCGGGCUAGAGUGCAGGAG
rnacentral:rRNA from 1 species